AGAACAUGGUCUGUGCCUUCCAGCAGCUCACACUGUGGGGAGUAGACCAGAGAUAAAUUAAAUGAGAGUGUAUUGGAAUAAGUCAAAAACACCUAGCAGCUGAGCUACAAAAUGACAAAGGGGACCUAAUAUAGAAUGGGUAGCCAGAAAACCUUCUCCAAGUAGGUAACAUGUUGACUGAGGCAUAAAUGAUGGGAAGGAAGCCAGGCAUGAUGGCCUGUAAUCCCAGCACUUUGGGAGGCCAAGCGGGGAGAAUUGCUUUAGUCCAGGAGUUCAGGACGUGGGCAACAUAGCGAGACCUCAUAUCUAUAGGAAAAAAAAAAUUAGCCAGGCAUGGUGGCUCACGCU
rnacentral:lncRNA from 1 species